UACAGAGGUCCCAAGCGUUGUUCGGAUUCAUUGGGCGUAAAGGGUGCGUAGGCGGCGCGGUAAGUCGGGUGUGAAAUCUCGGGGCUUAACUCCGAAACUGCAUUCGAUACUGCCGUGCUUGAGGACUGGAGAGGAGACUGGAAUUUACGGUGUAGCGGUGAAAUGCGUAGAUAUCGUAAGGAAGACCAGUGGCGAAGGCGGGUCUCUGGACAGCUCCUGACGCUGAGGCACGAAGGCCAGGGGAGCAAACGGG
rnacentral:rRNA from 1 species